GAGAGUGGGCGAUGCCAGCACAAGCCCCUCCCCAGCCACAACUCUGGUUUGAAGGUGUAAGGGGCGGAGCCAAGAGAUGGAACCAACCUACACAUCUGUUCUCUGGUGUGGAAAAGUGCCGGAUUGAGGCAAGGAGACAGUGAUCUCUCCAGCGUCUCUGGUAGACCACUGGGUGUGCUCAGUUCAGGGGCAGGUGAAAUGUGAAAGCCAACUCCUGGACCCUUGCUGCUGGUAGGUCCCACUCAGAGGACACAUGGAUCAGGCUCAGGAGCAACAGACAUGCAGCAAAUGAGCACCAGUGUAAGCACAAGACCUUCGCCUGCCACCUAUCUGCCCUGCAGCUGCAGCACCUCCCAGCACUGCUGUGGCAGGAGCUCCUGGAACCAGUAUGAGAUCCAAAGAGCACACCAACGUCAGAGCCAGGACAAAGUCUAGCAGGACAUGGAGAGGUGUGAAAGGCGAAGUGCUGUCACAUGUGCCUCAUCCCCGUGACUGCCAGUGCAGGAUGUCACCCACACUUGUGUGCCUGGUGCUUUGCACUGGCAACACACAUGAGGCUAAGAUGGGGAUGUCUCCCACCAUGCACAUCUCCUGAAGCAAGAACAGGAGCAGGGAGAAUCAUCCAUCCUGUGGCUAUUGAGUACCUGGGACAUGCUGUGUGGUGUGUCCCAAGACAAUCCCGGUCCCCUGGCAUGACUGCGCCAUUCCCUGGUGGGGUGUGGGGCUGGGUGGGUGCGUGUGGGGUGCCUGCACGCCCCAGCCAAGGCAUUUCCUUUCAGGGGGCUUUGUCCACACCAUCACUAAUAAUAUCAAGGUGUUCUGCCAAGUUCCUUCCAGCAAACCUAUGACUUUAUUCAAAGUGACAGGAGACCUGAUUUAUUAUACUAACGAGCCAGUGAUAAAUAAACAUGACCUGAGAGAA